rnacentral:rRNA from 1 species
UACGUAGGGGGCUAGCGUUGUCCGGAAUCAUUGGGCGUAAAGAGCGUGUAGGCGGUCCGGUAAGUCCGCUGUGAAAGUCGGGGGCUCAACCCUCGAAUGCCGGCGGAUACUGUCGGGCUAGAGUGCGGAAGAGGCGAGUGGAAUUCCUGGUGUAGCGGUGAAAUGCGCAGAUAUCAGGAGGAACACCUAUUGCGAAGGCAGCUCGCUGGGACGUAACUGACGCUGAGAUGCGAAAGCGUGGGGAGCAAACAGG